UACGGGGGGGGCAAGCGUUGUUCGGAAUUACUGGGCGUAAAGGGCUCGUAGGCGGCCAACUAAGUCAGACGUGAAAUCCCUCGGCUUAACCGGGGAACUGCGUCUGAUACUGGCGGCCUCGAGGGAGGUAGGGGCGUGCGGAACUUCCGGUGGAGCGGUGAAAUGCGUAGAUAUCGGAAGGAACACCGGUGGCGAAAGCGGCGCGCUGGACCUCUUCUGACGCUGAGGCGCGAAAGCCAGGGGAGCGAACGGG
rnacentral:rRNA from 1 species